UUUUUUGACACAAAGGAUCCACUCCAUAUCCAACCACACCUAAAGAAAUGCUUUGAAGGAAUUGCCAAGCUCACUUUUAAUCAUGAGAAAGAAAUUACCCACAUGGAGUCAGCAGAAAAUGAAAAAGUAGAGCUCGUGCUGUGAAUAAUUCCAGCGAGUGCCAAGGGGCUAGUUGAGAAAUGGCUUCAUGAGG
rnacentral:lncRNA from 1 species